GCCGGGGUCUUCCUGUGAGCGGCGGCGGGGCGGGCCGUGGCGAGCAGGGGGUCCCCAAGAAAGGGAAGGCUGUGUCGAGGAGGCGGGGCAGGUGCGUGGCGUGCCCCCUGGGGCGGUCUGAGGAAGGCGCUGGACUUCCCAGCGCUUUCUCCGUGUCUUCUCCGUUUCCCGGAGUUUCAGCUUUUCUCACCGUCGCUCUCCGUCCCGCCAGCUCUGGGAGGGGCCGGGCGGCAGAGCAGCCCCGGAAAAAAAUCAAACCCUGUUAUUAAAAACGGAACUCGGACGGUGGAACGGAAGCAAGUCCCUGGUCCGACAACCGGAGGAAGACAGGGUUUUAUAGGAACUGACAUUGUAUCGUGAACAGAAGCAGAAGUCCACUUCCACCCACACUGUACCGUUUCCCAGGGCUGCGGGAUGAGAGCAGUGUUUUUGAUGGGAAGACACAUGGAAUCACGGGAGCCAUGUGUCUGGAGAUGCGCCUCACCCACCGGUUAAAGUCCCCACGUCCCACGCAGGCAGCCGUUGGACCACGUACGAGGCCAGCUCUGUGCGUUGCUUUUGAAAGACCGUGUAUUUAAGAAAUUCAAAAGCCAAAUGCCGAAGACUUCGGUGUUCCUAAGAAAGCCAGUUCCCCACUCAUCCACACUGGAAGCACUUCUCACAGCGGUGGUCUGCUUUGCUUCUGUUGACUAUUUCUGGGGACAGGCUGGGUGACAGGGAGUUAGAGUACUCGGGGAGGGGUUUGGUGAGACAGGAUCAGAAUGGAGUUUAGGGUUUCUAAGGAGAGGUGGGGGAACAGCAAAAAUGCCAUUUUUUAGGACUGGGACCAGGCACAGCUACUCUUCUACAGGCAACACAGGUACCAGGGUGAUGUUUAUAAACGCUUUAUUCAGUUCAUUACAGUGGGCAAGUUCCCAGCUAGAUGCACAGAUACAAGCGAGGUAUUCCUGGGUUAAUGCGGGAGCUGGUGGGUUACCUGGGACUGAGCAUCAAGGCCAAGGAGAGAGCACCAGAGUUUCAGCGUCACACCCCGCCGGAGACCCCAAGCCGAGGUGGGGCUGCCGCCCCGACACUGACAGCUGAUUUCCUCUCCCAGGGGGGCGUGUUUUCACCAUUACGUCGUUUCAGUGCUGACAGGGGAACAGAUACCAAAGAACCGGAACCCGUGUCCUGGUGUGCCUCAACCACUGUUGCUUCGUAAGUCACACACUAGCACGUGAAAAACAACUUUAGACCGUUCCAGUACAAUGGGCCACGGAGUGGUGAACCUCUGCGUCGCCCCCCCCCCCCCAGUGCCUCCUUGCCCGUGUCGUUCUAACUAAUUCCUGCCCUUAGGCCGCACAGCCUGAUGUCGGAAGUCUCCACAAAAGUCUCUCAGAUGGAAACAGCUAUUUGCAAAGCAGCAUCUUGUGCAACAGCCCAGUGCGUCGGAGAAGGUCUCCGGUCAGCUGUUUCUGUGGAAAGUCAGCCGGCCCGACCAAUGCUAAUUGAAAGCAUAAUUUAGAAGACAGAUUUAGGAAGUGGAAUACGAAUAAAAAUAGAAACAAACUCCAAAAA